GGAUGUCAGGGCUAUCUAGCUGUAACAUCUGUCACCCUAUUGAUCACCAAGGUUGAUCUGGCUGAUCUAGCUGGCUGGGCAGGGGUCCCCUUCCCCUCUCACCACUCUAUGUACAUCCUUCCCAAAGCCGCACACUUGAAGAGGAUGACCGUCUCUGAUAGAGGAGGACCAGUGUUCGGUCAAGGGUAUGCCUCCAAACCUCCAAACAAGUUCUCAAAACAGAGGAUUCAUGUAAAGUACUUAGCCCAGUACCCACCACACAGUAUAUGAUAAACAAAUAUUAGAUCUUAUUAACA
rnacentral:snRNA from 10 species